UACAGAGGGUGCAAGCGUUGUUCGGAAUUAUUGGGCGUAAAGCGCGUGUAGGCGGCUUUGCAAGUCGGGUGUGAAAGCCCUCAGCUCAACUGAGGAAGUGCGCCCGAAACUGCAGAGCUUGAGUACCGGAGAGGAUGGCGGAAUUCCCCAAGUAGAGGUGAAAUUCGUAGAUAUGGGGAGGAACACCGGUGGCGAAGGCGGCCAUCUGGACGGAUACUGACGCUGAGACGCGAAAAGCGUGGGGAGCAAACAGG
rnacentral:rRNA from 1 species